UCGCUUCGUACAGUUUCGGUAGUUUACUACGUACAUACAUAUGUAUUUUAAUAUUUCACAGACUUGGCUUGCAGUCUGUCGCGCUCUAGGUGUUCCGGGCGUCACUGCCACAGAGUUGCAAAUAGUAAUUCCACAAAAGGGUUAAGGUUUGACAACACUUUGAUAACAUACAAGCAACACCCGUACUGCUGUAAAUAAAUUUAGAGCGAUAUGUUUUAAUUAUUUUUAACAAAUUGAAUACAAAGCAGAGGUGUACUGUUAUGAGCAAUUUUUUUGCCAAAAGCUUGAAUAAGUAUAUUGAAUCUUUAUUGGUCAAUCCAACGCAAGUUAAUAACUUACAAUUCAACUUUUACAAUGUUCAAAAAUUCUGUGUGUAAAACUUUACAGGAGUAUAUCUGUGUAAAAUCUCAUCUGUCGCGAGAAUGGCUGUUUUCACUUCAAAAAUUAAUUAUUUCUUCAGCAGUAGUCAAGUAAUUUUGACAGCUGGUUACGCAUUAUCAAUGAUCCUCAUUAGAAGAGCAAGAGAAAACAAAUAAACAAAGAAAACACAAGAAUGAUAGAGAAAGAGAUUACGCAGUGCGCAUGUUUGCUUUCAGUCAGCUGUUUUUGCUUACGUCACGGUUGACGUUUUAUUCGUCCGCGCCUAUGAAUGUGAAUUCGAAUUAUAUUUUCAAGUGAAGUAUUGACUGUGAAAUUCUAUAUUUUUUGAAAUGCGAUGCGCAGUUUGGUUGUAAUAAUAACAAUGGUAAAAAUAGUGCUACGAAGUGGAGAUUUUUCCAUUUCCCUAAGGAUAAAACAGUACUAAAACACUGGAUUCAUUUAUGUCGUCGGACGGACAAAAUUAACGUGCAUUUGUGAAGUGCACUUCGCGCCAGAAGCCUUCGAAAGAAAUUUGCAGUUUGAAAUGGUUUAAGUUCGCGGAAUCCAACGAAGUUGAUACCUAGCGCUUUUCCGAUGUUAACCACUGCUCCUGCAGAGGGUAAAGAACGGCAGAAAAGGAUGGAGUCUCGUUCCAAAAAAGGGUUGUUGACAACAAUCUUGAAGAAUACCGCCCCUGUUGAUGUAAAUCAAAAAUACGAGUUUGCAGAGGCCCCUCAAACUGCAAGAGAGGAUGUCAUCCAUGAGAAAGACGAAAAAAUACUGCAUUUGCAAACAGAAAUACAAAGGCAAAAAUGAGCAGUUAGCGAAAUUAAACGCCUUAAGAUUUCCAUUAAACCCGCGGAAUUCCAUAGAAAUAAUGUGGAGCAAAAACUUAGCUGCAUUUUCACCAACAGCCAGAUUGAAGAAUUUAGAGACGGAAACAAAUGGCGCGAUUGGGAAGAAGAAGACAUAGCUAAGUCGAUCAUGCUAUAUUCAACGCGCCCGAAAGCGUACAAGCUCUUAAGGAGAAACAACUUUCCUAUUCCAGGUGUGCGCACUCUGCAAUGAUGGUCGAAGAAAAUUGAUAUAGCUUCAGGUGUCAAACACAGCAA